rnacentral:rRNA from 1 species
GCCCAGAUCACCAGUUAAGGUCCCUAAAUAUAUGCUAAGUGGAAACGUUGUGAAGGUGCAUAGACAACUAGGAGGUUGGCUCAGAAGCAGCCACCCUUUAAAGAGUGCGUAAUAGCUCACUAGUCGAGUGCUCUUGCGCGGAUAAUGUACCGGGGCUAAGCAUAUUACCGAAACUGUGGAUGCGUAAGCAUGGUAGGAUAGCGUAAUUAACGCGAUGAAGGAUGACCGUAAGGACAUGUUGGAGCGUUAACUAGUGAGAAUUCCGGUAUGAGUAGCGAAAGAUAGGUGAGAAUCCUAUCCACCGAAUGAGUAAGGUUUCCCCCGGAAGGCUCGUCCGCGGGGGGUUAGUCGGGACCUAAGGCGAGGCUGAAAAGCGUAGUCGAUGGACAACAGGUUGAUAUUCCUGUACCGAUAUUUAAUUGCCGAAGGAAGGACGCAGAAGGAUAACACAGGCCACUAUUGGAUGUGGUUUUAAACAGUUAGUCUUCAUAAGAGUCAAAUGCUUUUAUGUUUAAGGAUAAGCUGUGAAUGUACCAAGUUUACUUGGAAAUUGUGUGAUUUCACGCUGCUGAAAAAAGUUUCGUAGGAAGAAAAUAUUGCCCGUACCGCAAACCGACACAGGUACUCAAGUGGAGAACACUAAGGUGAGCGAGUGAACUAUUGUUAAGGAACUCUGCAAAAUGAGUCCGUAACUUCGGAAGAAGGACUGCUGGUUUUAUACCAGCCGCAGCAAAUAGGCCCAAACAACUGUUUAUCAAAAACACAGGUUUCUGCAAAAUCGUAAGAUGAAGUAUAGGGGCUGACGCCUGCCCAGUGCUGGAAGGUUAAAAGGAGGACUUAGCUUCGGCGAAGGUCUUAAUUGAAGCCCCAGUGAACGGCGGCCGUAACUAUAACGGUCCUAAGGUAGCGAAAUUCCUUGUCGGGUAAGUUCCGACCCGCAUGAAAGGCGUAAUGAUUUGGGCGCUGUCUCAACAAUAGACUCGGUGAAAUUUAAAUUCCAGUGAAGAUGCUGGGUACCCGCGACAGGACGGAAAGACCCCGUGGAGCUUUACUGUAGCUUGAUAUUGAAUGUUUGUGCUGCAUGUGCAGGAUAGGUAGGAGACUUUGAAGUCGGAACGCUAGUUUCGAUUGAGUCACCCUUGAGAUACUACCUCUGUUGUAUGAACGUUCUAACUCUGAUCAGUUAUCCUGAUCGAAGACAGUGUCUGGCAGGCAGUUUGACUGGGGCGGUCGCCUCCUAAAAGAUAACGGAGGCGCUCAAAGGUUUGCUCAGAAUGGUUGGAAAUCAUUCGUAGCGUGUAAAGGCAUAAGCAAGCUUGACUGUGAGACUGACAAGUCGAGCAGGUACGAAAGUAGGACUUAGUGAUCCGGUGGUUCCGUAUGGAAGGGCCAUCGCUCAACGGACAAAAGCUACCCCGGGGAUAACAGGCUCAUCUCCCCCAAGAGUCCACAUCGACGGGGAGGUUUGGCACCUCGAUGUCGGCUCAUCGCAUCCUGGGGCUGUAGUCGGUCCCAAGGGUUGGGCUGUUCGCCCAUUAAAG